rnacentral:rRNA from 1 species
AUUGAACGCUGGCGGCAGGCCUAACACAUGCAAGUCGAACGGUAACAGGAAACAGCUUGCUGUUUCGCUGACGAGUGGCGGACGGGUGAGUAAUGUCUGGGAAACUGCCUGAUGGAGGGGGAUAACUACUGGAAACGGUAGCUAAUACCGCAUAACGUCGCAAGACCAAAGAGGGGGACCUUCGGGCCUCUUGCCAUCAGAUGUGCCCAGAUGGGAUUAGCUAGUAGGUGGGGUAACGGCUCACCUAGGCGACGAUCCCUAGCUGGUCUGAGAGGAUGACCAGCCACACUGGAACUGAGACACGGUCCAGACUCCUACGGGAGGCAGCAGUGGGGAAUAUUGCACAAUGGGCGCAAGCCUGAUGCAGCCAUGCCGCGUGUAUGAAGAAGGCCUUCGGGUUGUAAAGUACUUUCAGCGGGGAGGAAAGGAGUAAAGUUAAUACCUUUGCUCAUUGACGUUACCCGCAGAAGAAGCACCGGCUAACUCCGUG